UACGGGGGGGGCAAGCGUUGUUCGGAAUUACUGGGCGUAAAGGGCUCGUAGGUGGCCAACUAAGUCAGACGUGAAAUCCCCAGGCUUAACCUGGGAACUGCGUCUGAUACUGGAUGGCUUGAAUUCGGGAGAGGGAUGCAGAAUUCCAGGUGUAGCGGUGAAAUGCGUAGAUAUCUGGAGGAAUACCGGUGGCGAAGGCGACUGCCUGGACCAGCACUGACACUGAGGCACGAAAGCGUGGGGAGCAAACAGG
rnacentral:rRNA from 1 species